rnacentral:rRNA from 1 species
CAGCAGCCGCGGGAAUACGAAGGGUGCAAGCGUUACUCGGAAUUACUGGCGUAAAGCGUGCGUAGGUGGUGGUUUAAGUCCGUUGUGAAAGCCCUGGGCUCAACCUGGGAAUUGCAGUGGAUACUGGGUCACUAGAGUGUGGUAGAGGAUAGUGGAAUUUCCGGUGUAGCAGUGAAAUGCGUAGAGAUCGGAAGGAACAUCUGUGGCGAAGGCGACUAUCUGGGCCAACACUGACACUGAGGCACGAAAGCGUGGGGAGCAAACAGGAUUAGAUACCCCUGUAGUCCCUGUCUCUUAUACA